rnacentral:rRNA from 1 species
GCGCACCAGUCGCGAAUAGUCUACAAUGGACGAAAGUCUGAUAGUGCGACGCCGUGUGUGCGAUUAAUUCCUUCGGGAUGUAAAGCACUUUUCUAUGAGAUAAAAGCUCUCUAGGUUAAUAGCUUAUUGAGACGGAUAUUAUUAUAGGAAUAAGCUCCGGCUAACUCCGUGCCAGCAGCCGCGGUAAUACGGAAGGAGCGAGCGUUGUCCGGAUUUGCUAGGCGUAAAGGGCUAGUAGGCGACUAAUUAAGUUAUAUGUUAAAUCCCACGGCUCAACUGUGGUCCUGCAUGUAAUACUGGUUAGAUAGAGUACUGUAGAGGAAGGCAGAAUUCCUGGAGUAGCGGUGGAAUGCGCAGAUAUCAGGAAGAAUACCAAAAGCGAAGGCAGCCUUCUGGGCAGUUACUGACGCUGAAUAGCGAAGGUGUGGUAGCGAACAGGAUUAGAUACCCCUGUAGU